rnacentral:hammerhead_ribozyme from 1 species
GCACUACUGAAGAGUCCCACACUAGGACGAAACGGCCUUUCAGUGC